rnacentral:rRNA from 1 species
CACGUAGGGGGCAAGCGUUGUCCGGAUUUAUUGGGCGUAAAGAGCGUGUAGGCGGCCAGGUAGGUCUGCUGUGAAAACUCGAGGCUCAACCUCGAGACGUCGGCGGAAACCAUCUGGCUAGAGUCCGGAAGAGGAGAGUGGAAUUCCUGGUGUAGCGGUGAAAUGCGCAGAUAUCAGGAAGAACACCAGUGGCGAAGGCGACUAACUGGACAUGUAUUGACGCUGAGGUGCGAAAGCGUGGGGAGCAAACAGG